UCUCAUUAAGAUACAAUCUCCUAUGAAAAAUACUCCAGGGGCGCCUCGGUGCUCAGUCGGUUAAGCGGCCGACUUCAGCCAGGUCACGAUCACGCGGUCCGUGAGUUCGAGCCCCGCGUCAGGCUCUGGGCUGAUGGCUCAGAGCC